UGUGUGGUCCUGUGGUGUUGUUCCGCGUUUUUGGUGGUGCUGAGACACACCUGCCGCCGCUUCUCCAGCGCACGCCCUUCCUCUUCCUCAACCUUGACGCACCGCUCGUCACCCACGCACACGCAAACGCCCCCUUCCACCAUUUGCUGCCCCGCUGCCUCCGCAGCUACUCUUUCUGUGCCUGUGCGCGUGCGUGUACUUUUCGGUAUUGUUUUCAGCUGUUUGCCGAUGAGUGCCGCGCGCGAAGACUCGGCGCCGUGCGCCGUUCCGUCCAAGCUGUGGCGCGAAUGCCUGAAGCAGUACGACUAUGGACCGGACAGGCCGAAGGGCGCCUGCGAGGCGCACCGCACGAAGUUCUACGACUGCGUCAAGGACUGGACGGCGCGGACGCAGCACAAGUCAUACUCUUACACACAGUUCGAACUCCCCAAGUCGUGCGGCCACGAGGCGGAAAAGCUGCACCAGUGCAUGAUGAUGAACAUGUUUGAGGUGAGCCACUGUCAGCGAGAUAUGGCGGUGCUAAAGCGGUGCGCGGCGCGUGCCGACCCGGAGGUGCGCAAGUACCUGCAAGACGAUGAAGCGAUCGCGGACCUCGAAAACGACAUUGAGGAGGCUACUGGACUGAAGCGCCUCUGGUACAAGGCGAUUGGCAAGCUCUAGUAGCCCUCUCGCCGCGACUACGACGAGGCGACGUGUAAGGAGUUGAUUGGCAUCGACGUGUGCGUGUGGGCGUCAGGGCCGCAGGGGAGCAAUGCAACGAUGUGCCGCGCCGCGCCUGUGGCUAUCGUUGUUGUCAUCACAUGAAAAGAGAAACCGGAGAAAAGGGUGUGAGGGUGGUAGUGGUGGUGGUGGUGGUGGUGGGGGGCGGUUGGACACAUCGAUGCGCGAGUCGCUUUCCUUUCUCUGAUUUCUGCCUGCCGCCGAUCCAAAGAAACGACGUUACGGCGGAAGGGAGCGUGAAGGGAAGCACGGUGUGUGAAGCGGUGUCGUGCUUGAGACACCUGCUCGUAUGAUGUUGGUCUCUCUUGUGCCUUGUCUGCCGCCCCCCCGUGAUGGAUGUCUUGAUGUGUCUGCCUCCCUUUCCCUCUCCCUCGCGCUUUCAAAGCCCUGCCGCAUUAUCUCCAUCCUCUCUUGCGCGGCCUUGUCCCUUCUCUACACCCCCCACCCCCCACGGCGAACGAAACCCACACCAACAAG
rnacentral:misc_RNA from 1 species